AAGGAGGAGUAAGAUUAAAAGAUAAUAGUGAUAGAUAAGAAAUAGAGUAGAAAAUAUAAAAAAUAUUUGUUGAUAUUUUUUACUGCAAAAGUAAUAGAGAAAACAAAUAGAGACAUAAGCAAAACCAUGUCCCUUUGUGAACAUUCAAACAGAGUUGGAUGAAUAAGGAUAAGAUUAUCAUCAUUUUUGCGCGUAACUUUGUGAACCAAUGACAUGAGUUGAAUAAAUAGGAAUAAAAUUAUCAUUAUUUUUGCGUGUAA
rnacentral:lncRNA from 1 species